AGAGAGAGAGAGAGAGAGAGAGAGAGAGAGAGAGUGAUUCCAGCCCUAGAAAAUGGAAAGCCUUAAACUGCAGGGUGCGAAAAUGGCGGGAAGGAAUUAGGGUUAGGGUUUUAAUGGCCAUGGCGAAUGUCUCGCGGACCCUAACGGCUAAAUUUAUCUUCCUCUGCGUCAGUGUUAGCACCGAGCCAGACAGCUUCUCUCUCUAUUGCGUAGAUUGCUUAAGUUUUCUUGGAAAUACUAAGUGAGUAUGGAUAUUAUGGACAUGGGAAAGUUGGAGGAAAUGGACUCUGGAUUUAUCCAAGCAUCCGAAGGGUUUUUGCCAUUGAUUAGUAGCUUCAAGGAGAAUGACUGUUUCCAAGACGAUUCAGCUUCUUAUGAAAGAUUCCUCGCUCCAUAUGAUACAGAUUCAUUCUUUGACGACCUUGCAAAUAGAUUAAUUAUCUCAAGAAUGGUUAAUGACUCUGUGGUAAAAGGAAUAGUAAAUGCAGUGAAAGAAGAGGCUGAUGAGCGAAUAUCAGAAAAGGAAGCCGAGAUUGAAAGCUUGAGAGAAAAUUUAAGUUUAUCCAAGUCAGAGGUAGCCAAGUUAGAAAGGUUUUUGGAGCAUAAGGAUAAAGAAAUGGCUUCUUUGAAUGCUUCACUCAAUCAUUCAAACAGUAAAACAUCUCAGAUAGAGGAAGUUCAAGCAGUCUUUACUUCAAGGCAUCAUGAGCAUUUCAAUGAAGAGCCAAAAUCAAGUUUUAAGAUGGCAAUUGAAGAUCAUCUGAGGAGAAUGAAGCAAGAAAUUGAGGAUGGGAGGGUGCUUGCAGUUAAUGGCUUGAUGGGUAUUUCUGAAUUUUCUUCAUUAAAUGGCCAUAUGGAUAACAUGACUAAAAUGUUUUCGAAAUCUCAUGUUGAGAAAGGAAUAGCUAGAUCCUCAGUUAAGGAUAUGGGACUGAAUCCAUGUGAGAUUUACCAUAAAUUCCAACAUAUGAUUAAAGUUUAUGACUCCUUAAAAAAUGGGUUGGACAUGGUUUGGGAACAGGUCAGUGAUUCUGACUUAAUUGAAUGGAAGUGGAAAUUUGAUGCACACGAAGAAGUCAAUGCUCCAGUUUUGAAGGGGGAGCUCCAAGGGAAAUCAGUUAUAGGUUCAUGGGAACAGAAUGGUCAAGUGGCUGAUAGCCAUAGAAAGCAGCUUUCAAUGCAGAUUGAUGUGAUUUCAAGCUUGAGACAAGAGUUAGAUGCAACAUUGAGGAGUUUAACUGCUCCCGAACCAGGCCAACAACUCUCGCAUGGAUCGCAAGAAGUCACUGAGGAGCAAAUUAGUAAUGCUGAAAAGAAAAACCAGGUCCACCAUAAUGUCAUGGGGAAUCGCCUUUCCCCUGGUAUUGUCCUUCGUGAGGAAAAUGAUGUGGCCAUUGCUUUAGAGAAAUUCAAAGAGCCCAAAAAUAACCCUGAUCGAAUACCUGAGUCUGGGGAAUUGAGGCACAUGUCAAAGGAAGAGCUAAUGACCUAUUUUACAAGUGAAAUGACCAAGAUGAAGAGGAACUAUGAGUCUACUGUGCAUGAGCUAACAGAAGCUUUCUUUAGUCUCAAGAGGAAACACCUUAAAGAAAAAGGGUCUUCACCAUUGAGGAGAGAUAAGGAAUCUGAUGGUAUCCGGAAAAGGAUCACAGAGGCCGUUAUAAAGUUGGAUGACAUGAUCAAGGAGACUGCCAAGCUAGCUUUAAUUGAAGAAGAUUACCAAAAGUUGUGCUCCUUGAAGGAUAAACUUCUUUCUGAAAACCAGCACUUACGAGAGAUGCUUGCCGAUAAAAAUAAGGAAGUCAAGUACCUCUCAUCCCAGGUUUCAGAUGCUGCCAAUAAAAUGUCCCUUCAUUCAUUGACAGAAACAAACUUCCUCAAGCUGAUAAAGAAGCUUAGAUGUGAUAUAGAAGAUCUAAAUGUAGAAAUUUUCAUUAGAGAGGAGGUAUACAAGGAUGUUGUUCGUGAGUUGGGUAUUGAAUUCAGAGGUGUUACGAACGAUUUUCUGAUCGAGGCUUCAGUCAUAGAAGAGAUAUAUGCCAUCAUAUAUGAAGGAGCAAUCAGGGAUAUAGAGGCUUAUGUAAAUUCUACAUUGUUGAAGUAUGGUGAAGAAAUGGACAGGCUGAACCACCUUGAGACAAAACUCUUAGAGAAGGAGGAGGCAAUAUGCUCAGACAUUAAAGAAAAGGAGGUGUUCAAGCAAGAAAUUUCUUCAUUGUUGAGUUUGAUGGGAGAGAAAGAGAAUGUGGCAGUGGAAGCUAGUGCAGCAUUGAAGGAACAGAAGGAGCGUCUUGAUCUAGUGACUCAAGAGCUUAACAUGUUCAAGGAACAAUCAGAUCAGCAAGAGAAAGUAAUUGAUGAGAAGAAUAGAGAGUUGAAUUCUGUGAGUGGGAGAUUGAAGGAAGCUUUGAAGCAAGUAGGCUUUUAUAAAUUAGAAAUGAAAGAGUUAGAUCAGGAACUUACGGAAUCGUUGAAUGACUUAGGGAAAGCAAGGGAACAAAUAUCCUUUCUUGAAGGUGUAGUUCAAAACAAUCAGCAAACAGUAUGUUCACUUGUGAUGGCUGAGGAAGAGCAAAGGAAACGGUUGGAAGCUACUGUAAAAUCUGCUGAGGACUUGUUCAGAGCACUAAUUGUACUACAAAACAGAAUAUAUGAAGGAAUUGGGAAGAAUAGUCUAAGGUUAGAAAACCUAAACAAACAAUUUUAUCCACUUGUUCGGCAUGCUAAUUCACUUAGGAAGAAGAAUUUGUUGUACAAACAAGGUUUGGAAAGAAGAUAUUCUGACCUUCAAAAGGCAGAAGUAGAGGUUGAUUUGCUAGGUGAUGAAGUUGAUACACUUCUCAGUCUCCUUGAGAAGAUAUACAUCGCACUUGAUCAUUAUUCACCUAUUUUGCAACAUUAUCCGGGGAUUAUGGAAAUUCUGAAAUUGAUUCAGAGGGAACUGAAAGGAGAAGUUGCCCAACCAAUCUGAUCAUGGCGUUGCUUUAAGAUAUUCAUCAGCUUUCAUCUGGGAUGGCUCUGAUUCUUCAGUUAAUUUGGUCCCUUUAUCAAGCAAUCCUCAGAAAUCAGCCUGUACUUGGAACUCACUUGGGCUGAUUGUCCCCAGCAGAGACUAAAUGCUCUAACUGCGCAUUCGCAAGUGGCUUUUCAUCAGCCAACAGAUGCUCAUCAAUGACAUUCUCGGGUGGUUGAAGUGGUCGCAAUCAACACUGUCACUCACAUCAUUCAGAUGGUUGUGAUGUCAUUGCUUGCCACAGGAAGCAAUGUACACCAUUUCAUGUAAUAUACUUCCUCGAUUUAGUUUGGCUCAGCUCAGCUUGCUUGGUUCAACUCUUUAACACCUUUUCAGCUCAGGCAAAGGCGAAUGUAUUCCUUUCUUCCUCAAGGAGAUUAGUGGGGAGAAUCUGAAGGCCAUAAACACGUAGCUUUCGCACUGCCAUUUGGGUGCCACAAGAGCUGCCUUGCUGUUAACUUUGGUUCAAAUUUUUGUAGCUUUUUUAUUUAUGUUUUUUACCCUUUUUGGGCCAAGGGAAAUGUAUGUUCAUUGUAAUAAUAUUAUGGCGAUCAUUUGUGAAUAAUCAGUGGCUUUAAAGAAUAAAUUAUUAAAUGCUUUUGUCAGCAGAGACU